UACGUAGGGUGCGAGCGUUGUCCGGAAUUAUUGGGCGUAAAGAGCUCGUAGGCGGUCUGUCGCGUCUGCUGUGAAAUCCCGAGGCUCAACCUCGGGCUUGCAGUGGGUACGGGCAGGCUAGAGUGCGGUAGGGGAGAAUGGAACUCCUGGUGUAGCGGUGGAAUGCGCAGAUAUCAGGAAGAACACCGAUGGCGAAGGCAGUUCUCUGGGCCGCAACUGACGCUGAGACGCGAAAGCGUGGGGAGCAAACAGG
rnacentral:rRNA from 1 species